GUCUAGCAUGUGGUGACUCCAGGAUCCAGGUGGCUUCCAUCUUGAGGUGCUGUACUCUCAACACGUGGCCUCAAUUACUGUGGCAGAGGCACCUUUCCUUCUACUUACAGGCCAUUGACCAGAAUUAGUUGCAUAUUCUCUGGCCUAAGUAUAAGGAAAGUUAUGAAAUACUCUUUUCUCUUGUGUUCAGGAAAAGAAAAUGAAACAGGAUUAGGUGAACACAAAGCAUUGCCUUUGCCACAGUUUUAAGUGUAGAUUCUUUGAAAGUACUUUUUCUAGUACCAGUUAACCUUGGAAAAGGAGAACCAAAUUAGAGUUGUUACUCAUCUCUGAUUCCUCCUGAACGUGAUGGAAACUUUGAACAAAGCAUGUACUCACAUGCAAUUGACCAUCCAAUCACGGAAUUUGGAAUGACCCUGGUUUAUUAUUACCUUCAAGGUUUAAUGUCAUUUUUAAAAUUUUGAUUGGAUAUUGAAAAUGGAGAUGGAUUAGAAAUAUAAGAAUCUUAUCAGUUCAUAGUAUUGCCAAGCAGAGUAAAAUUAUCCCAUCAUGGCUUCAGAUAUUGUUUUAAAAAGUUCUAAGCCAAAAGCCACCUCAAUUAUUACAAAGAAAGAAAUACCUUAGAAAAAGUAACCAGAAUAUUGUCUUGAAAACCAGAAAUAUUGAGCAAGAAAAGACUACGUGAGAAGGAAGUCACCAUCUUCGGUGGGGACCUUUCUCAGACAAUCUAUUCUUCCACAAUUCUCCUUGAGCAACCAAGAUAUUAACGGGGAAGACUUGAAGUUUCUAUGCUGCUUGAUCCAGAAUUUUCUCACCAUGGAUGUGGGGUUCUCACCUUUGAAGGUUGGUCUCUGCUUAUGUCUCCAUUACCAUUACAUUGUCUGUGUUCAUGCCAGCUCCAGGCUGUGUGUCUCCACACUCGAAGGCACAUUCAUUCUCCUUAGGAGUAUAUCCCAUUCCAUGGAACACUGUGGAGUUAACAGGGCUGACUGGAGUUUGGAUGUGGUGGCUAAGACCAGAGACCUGGAAUCCUUCAUGCAUCCUGAGCUUCAGAGACCCCUGUAACCAUGUUCCUUUUCAGAUUGACACCAAUUCCUUGACUCAUGUGGCUGCACCAUCAGCAAUGCCUUUCUCUCCAUCCCUGCUUCCUUCUAUCUAGCUUUUUUCAAGAUCUUGCCCAGGGUUACAUCUUCCAUGGAACUUUCCCUGAUUCCCUCAGCCAAAGUGACCUGUCAUAUAAUCAUCAUGCUCUCUUGAUUGCAAUUGAAUGAAACACAACUCAAACUGGGUUUAAACAAAGAGAAUUGGAGCUCAGCUAAUUUAGAAGUUCACAAAUAAGUUGGAUCCACAGACUGAAAGAUAUCAGGAAGCAUUACUUUGUUUUUCUCAGUGAUCCUACCAAAAGAUCCAAGAUCUCACUAGCCUAACCUGGGUCAUUUGCCCAACACUGAAUCAAUCAUUAUAGCCCCUGAGGUUAGAAUCCACUGAUUGGCCAGUCUCAGAUUACAUGCUCUCCCCAAGAGAGCAUCUAGUCAUAGAGAGAAGCUACGUGGAGUGUGAAAAAGGGGUGGUUCCUUGAAUGUAUUCAUCUAAAGUGCUGUCAACUGAAGAGGGAGAAUGAAUACUGGGCAAGCAAAAACAACAUGUGUUCCUGUCAACUUGUAAUCUGUACAGUGAAAACACCAACUUCUAAAUAUAUUUUCUUGUGUUAAUACUUUA